CCCAGCUCUCCUGUGCCUUGACUUUUAUGUACUUACAGCAGAGGUUUGUGCGAACUUAGGUAGCUGGUGCACACAUGGGACAUCAUCAAAGAGCCCAACCAGAAAGUCAGAGCUUGGAUUUGGAGUGCCGUAUGGCUAUUUAGAAGCAUGUUGUUAUAGUGGGGCAAGCAAAACAUCCUUUCAUUAAAACAGCUGAUGUGGGCUUUGCCCCUGACAGAAGUUAUUUGGUUCUAGCUCUGAGUUUGGAAGAAGUUGGUAUAUAGAUUUUCCCCUAACUUUCAAUUGAUGUGUUUAGCUUUAGUGGGAGUAAUACUAUCACUUAAACCAUGUUGUCGUCUCAAGGAGUUUUGCUACAUCCAUAUGGAGUGCCAAUGAUUCUGCCGGCAGCACCAUACUUCGCUGGACUUGUUCAGGUAAU